rnacentral:rRNA from 1 species
UACGGGGGGGGCAAGCGUUGUUCGGAAUUACUGGGCGUAAAGGGUGCGCAGGCGGCUCCGCAUGUCGGGCGUGAAAUCCCCGGGCUUAACCUGGGAAUUGCGUCCGAAACUAUGGAGCUGGAGUGUGGCAGAGGGAGGUGGAAUUCCACGUGUAGCGGUGAAAUGCGUAGAGAUGUGGAGGAACACCGAUGGCGAAGGCAGCCUCCUGGGCCAACACUGACGCUCAUGCACGAAAGCGUGGGGAGCAAACAGG